GACGAACGCUGGCGGCGUGCUUAACACAUGCAAGUCGAACGAAGUGGCGAACGGGUGCGUAACGCGUAAUCAACCUGCCCUUAAGAGGGGGACAACAGUUGGAAACGACUGCUAAUACAGCAUACUGAAGGCGGGGAUUUAGUCUGAUUAGCGAUGUGGAGGGGUAACGGCCUAACAAGGCGAUGGUCAGUAGCCGGUCUGAGAUGGUUAAAGGCGAAAUGUGGACUGAGACACGGCCCAGACUACUAAGGGAGGCAGCAGUGGGGAAGCUGCCGCAAUGGACGAAAGUCUGACGGAGCAACGCCGCGUGAUUGAUGACGGCCUUCGGGUUGUAAAGCUCUGUUAAUCGGGACGCGGUACCGGAAUAGAAAGCCACGGCUAACUACGUGCCAGCAGCCGCGGUAAUUC
rnacentral:rRNA from 1 species